UAAAAAUAACCAGUCCUCAAAAAGUCAUGAUAAACGCCACACAGCUGAGUGACUUGGGAAGUGCUUUCUGACUCCUCAAAGGGGGACACACGGUCGGUUUUGUUUGUUUUUUUAAUUUCACACACGCACAAAAAACCAUGGAAAUCUGCGAGCCACCAGCCAACCGCUCGUGCUUGGCCCUGACAACUGUAAUCUAGCCUUCACUUCCUCUCCUAGUCACUGAAGCCAAGAUUUGGGUUAAAGUUUUUCAAAUUUGUCUUGAUCAACAGAGACAUCUACGGACACUAAAGAUGGAGUCUAACUAGAAAAAGCUGCACCAAGUAUUCCAGUCCGGGACUAAAAGACCAAGGUUGUACACAGGAAAAGAGUAAGUCCUAGAUCCAUCCAGUGCUGCCUGACCUUGUGAAGCCUUCAGAAACAAGGCUUCCUGUUGGCUGCUCUGUUGCUCAGUAUCCAGUUCCAGAUCACAGAUCCAGGGAGGACUGAAGAGGGGAUGGUGAUCCAAAACAAGGAGUCAUCUUGGGCCAUAAGCUAAAGACUGAGCAAGGUGCAAAUUCAGAUCCAAGCAUAACAACGCGUCUUUGACCCUAGGAAAGGAGCAUCAUGUCAUUUCCAGCUUGCAACCAAAUAUAAAUCCUGCAAUCAAAUAACCAGCCUAUAGUUUUGUGAUUGAAUCAAUAAAGUUUUCCAGGUGACUGAGUUCAGCAGCAAUUUAUUGGAACUCCAGCCAGGGGCAAGCCCACAAGUAUGUUGCUCAGACCCAAAUCAAGAUCAAGAGCUUGCAGAGUUCAAACCAAAAGGGUAGUGGUCAGACUUGGAUCGGACCACUUUGGGAGCAUUGAAAGCUUAUAGAUCUACAACCUGAACUAUCCCUGAAUCCUAGAAUAAUACAGUAUUCAAAAACUCAAUCCAGACAUUACCUCCAGAAGUGCACAGAACCUGGCCCUGACAAAGUCAGGAAGUAUGUUGUAAGAAUGAGCAAAGAAAAAAAUUAGUCUCACCACAAAGAGUUGUUAUGAUGAGAAACAUAAUUAAGACACAAAUCCAGAAGAAGAGAAUGACUCCAAAACAGCCAAAAGAAAAGAUUUAAAGAAAAAUGCAGUUUGGAUACAAGUUUAACAAGAAUAACACAUAGAGAUGAAACAAGAAUUGUCUUAUAAAAAAUAAAAUGCUUUUAAAAAUGAAAUGAAAGCCACUACAGGAAAAAUUAGAAAAGAAAUAGAAGAUAUUAACAGAUCACUUCCUGAAAUAAACCUCAAACUGAAAAUUACCAGAAACAGUAGAACCAAAAUCCAGAGCUUCCAGAUUUAAAAAAAAAUACCAUAAGUAAGAACUGAGGAGCAACAGUGAAGAUCACACACAAUUUAAUAACUACCAUUAUAAAGGAGUGAAGAGCUUAGAAGAUGAUAGACUGAAGGCAAAAAAAUAUAUAGGCUUAUAAACAAGAAGAAUCUAUCCAGGAAAACUGGGUAGGGGGAAGUGGAGGGAAAAGAUUUUUAAUGAAAAUGAAAAUGUUAACUAUUAUCAUUUCAGAGUAAAGAGGAGAGUAACUACCAGCUAAAGAACCAGGAACAUCCUAAACUUAUAACUACAUAUGACAUUUCCCCUUCUUACUUCCCAAAGAAUGUAAGUUGCUUGAAGGCAGUCUGUGAUAUUGCAAACUGAUUUGUAACUUUUAUGCUUGUUGAUUGAUCUAUUCCUGAUAACACAACUAAUAAAUGUUAGGAGUGGA